AUGUCCCCUUCUCAUCCAUCCAUCUCUCUCUCUCUCUCUCUCUCUCUCUCUCUCUCUCUCUCUNNNNNNNNNNUCUCUCUCUCUCUUUCUCUCUCUCUCAGCAUCUCGCUCUCUUUCUCAGCAUAUUUCUCUCAGCAUCUCUCUCUCUCUUUCAGCAUCUAUCUCUCUCUCACGCUCUCUCUAAAAGGUUGUUUGUGUUGUCAAUAUCAGCCCUGUGUCUCUGGACGAGGUUCAGAGAUUGAACAGUCAGUGGAUGCUAGUGUGUGUGUGUGUUGUCACCACAGGAGAGAUUCUGGCUGGGAUGCAUCUAAUCCUCCACUCAAUGUUUAUACGAUACAGCCGCGUGGGGAGGGGGAGGUUUAACACAGACGGGUCAGAGUAUGUUGAUCCUGGAAAGGUAAUCAACAUACUCAGUGCGAGUGGGCGGCUGAGAAUGACACGUGUUGUCAUUGGAUGAGGCACUGAGGGGACGGGUUUAGGAGGAGUUUGUACCUGUGUGAACCAGAGUGAGGACAGUGUGGUCUGUGGGAGAGGCAGAAUGGUACCUCAUGUGAGCAGACUCCCCUCGCCUUGACAGGAGAUUCCGCCCUGCGGGAAAAGUGAAAUGAGGAUUAGCCAAUGAGACGUGUGGAUAGAAUCAGGACAUAAUCUAAAUCCACAGACAAAGCCUUCUCUCAUCUGGGAUUAACUUGCUGGCUGGGGCUGGUUUAGAGUUGGGUCUCUGGGUAGCUAGCUGGGGCUGGUUUAGAGUUGGGACUCAUCUGGCUCUGUGGGGUUAGGGUAGCUGGCUGGGGCUGGUUUAGAGUUGGGUCUCUGGCUCUGUGGGGUUAGGGUAGCUGGCUGGGGCNNNNNNNNNNNNNNNNNNNNNNNNNNNNNNNNNNNNNNNNNNNNNNNNNNNNNNNNNNNNNNNNNNNNNNNNNNNNNNNNNNNNNNNNNNNNNNNNNNNNCGUGGUGUUCUUUACUGUAGACGUGGUGUUCUUUACUGUAGACGUGGUGUUCUUUACUGUAGACGUGGUGUUCUUUACUGUAGACGUGGUGUUCUUUACUGUAGACGUGGUGUUCUUUACUGUAGUGAUAUAUUUUACAUAAAUUCCCAUCAAUUCCCAUUAUUAAAGUGGCUGGAGUUAGUGUGAGUCAGUGUGUUGGCAGCAGCCACUCAAUGUUAGUGGUGGCUGUUUAACAGUCUGAUGGCCUUCAGAUAGAAGCUGUUUUUUAGUCUCUCGGUCCCUGCUUUGAUGCACCUGUACUGACCUCACCUUCUGGAUGAUAGCGGGGUUGAACAGGCAGUGGCUCGGGUGGUUGUUGUCCUUGAUGAUCUUUAUGGCCUUCCUGUGACAUCCGGUGGUGUAGGUGUCCUGGAGGGCAGGUAGUUUGCCCCCGGUGAUGCGUUGUGCAGACCUCACUACCCUCUGGAGAGCCUUACGGUUGUGGGCGGAGCAGUUGCCGUACCAGGCGGUGAAGUUUGUGAGUGCUUUUGGUGACAAGCCGAAUUUCUUCAGCCUCCUGAGGUUGAAGAGGCGCUUCUGCGCCUUCUUCACGAUGCUGUCUGUGUGGGUGGACCAAUUCAGUUUGUCUGUGAUGUGUACACCGAGGAACUUAAAACUUACUACCCUCUCCACUACUGUCCCAUCGAUGUGGAUAGGGGGGUGCUCCCUCUGCUGUUUCCUGAAGUCCACAAUCAUCUCCUUAGUUUUGUUGACUUUGAUUGUGAGGUUAUUUUCCUGACACCACACUCCGAGGGCCCUCACCUCCUCCCUGUAGGCCGUCUCGUCGUUGUUGGUAAUCAAGCCUACCACUGUUGUGUCGUCCGCAAACUUGAUGAUUGAGUUGGAGGCGUGCGUGGCCACGCAGUCGUGGGUGAACAGGGAGUACAGGAGAGGGCUCAGAACGCACCCUUGUGGGGCCCCAGUGUUGAGGAUCAGCGGGGUGGAGAUGUUGUUACCUACCCUCACCACCUGUGGGCGACCCGUCAGGAAGUCCAGUAUGGAGGGUACUAUGGUGUUAAAUGCUGAGCUGUAGUCGAUGAACAGCAUUCUCACAUAGGUAUUCCUCUUGUCCAGAUGGGUUAGAGCAGUGUGCAGUGUGGUUGAGAUUGCAUCGUCUGUGGACCUAUUUGGGCGGUAAGCAAAUUGGAGUGGGUCUAGGGUGUCAGGUAGGGUGGAGGUGAUAUGGUCCUUGACUAGUCUCUCAAAGCACUUCAUGAUGACGGAAGUGAGUGCUAUGGGGCGGUAGUCGUUUAGCUCAGUUACCUUAGCUUUCUUGGGAACAGGAACAAUGGUGGCCCUCUUGAAACAUGUGGGAACAACAGACUGGGAUAAGGAUUGAUUGAAUAUGUCCGUAAACACACCAGCCAGCUGGUCUGCGCAUGCUCUGAGGACGCGGCUGGGGAUGCCGUCUGGGCCUGCAGCCUUGCGAGGGUUAACAAGUUUAAAUGUUUUACUCACCUCGGCUGCAGUGAAGGAGAGUACGCAUGUUUUCGUUGCAGGCCGUGUCAGUGGCACUGUAUUGUCCUCAAAGCGGGCAAAAAAGUUAUUUAGUCUGCCUGGGAGCAAGGCGUCCUGGUCCGUGACUGGGCUGGUUUUCUUUUUGUAAUCCGUGAUUGACUGUAGACCCUGCCACAUACCUCUUGUGUCUGAGCCGUUGAAUUGCGAUUCUACUUUGUCUCUAUACUGACGCUUAGCUUGUUUGAUUGCCUUGCGGAGGGAAUAGUUACACUGUUUGUAUUCGGUCAUGUUUCCGGUCACCUUGCCCUGAUUAAAAGCAGUGGUUACUUACUGUAGGCAUGGUGUUCUUUACUGUUCUUUACUGUAGACGUGGUGUUCUUUACCAUAGGCGAGGUGUUCUUUACUGUUCUUUACCAUAGGCGAGGUGUUCUUUACUGUUCUUUACUGUAGACGUGGUGUUCUUUACUGUUCUUUACUGUAGACGUGGUGUUCUUUACCAUAGACGUGGUGUUCUUUACUGUUCUUUACCAUAGGCGUGGUGUUCUUUACUGUUCUUUACUGUAGACGUGGUGUUCUUUACCAUAGGCGUGGUGUUCUUUACUGUUCUUUACUGUAGACGUGGUGUUCUUUACCAUAGGCGUGGUGUUCUUUACUGUUCUUUACCAUAG
rnacentral:lncRNA from 13 species